rnacentral:rRNA from 1 species
GAUGAACGCUGGCGGCGUGCCUAAUACAUGCAAGUCGAGCGAACAGACGAGGAGCUUGCUCCUCUGACGUUAGCGGCGGACGGGUGAGUAACACGUGGAUAACCUACCUAUAAGACUGGGAUAACUUCGGGAAACCGGAGCUAAUACCGGAUAAUAUAUUGAACUGCAUGGUUCAAUAGUGAAAGACGGUUUUGCUGUCACUAAUAGAUGGAUCCGCGUCGCAUUAGAUAGUUGGUAAGGUAACGGCUUACCAAGGCAACGAUGCGUAGCCGACCUGAGAGGGUGGUCGGCCACACGGGAACUGAGACACGGUCGAGACUCCUACGCGAGGCAGCAGUAGGGAAUCUUACGCGAUGGGCGAAAGCCUGACGGAGCAACACCGCGUGAGUGAUGAAGGUGUUCGGAUCGGAAAACGAUGUAAUUAGGAAAGAACAAAUGUGUAAGUAACGAUGAACGUAUUGACGGUACCUAAUCAGAAAGCCACGGCUAACUACGUG